UGUCCCGUGGUGUAUUGGCCGCACAGGGGUUUUUGAUACCCUUAGUCCUGGUUCGAAUCCAGGCGGGACAACCA
rnacentral:tRNA from 1 species